GAUGAACGCUAGCGGCAGGCCUAAUACAUGCAAGCUGAACGGUAAAUAGUGUAGCAAUACACUAUGAGAGUAGCGUAAGGGUGCGUAACACGUAUGCAAUCUGCCCUGUACAGGAGGAUAGCUCGGCGAAAGCCGGAUUAAUACUCCGUAAGAUAUUGGUGGGGCAUCCCACAGAUAUUAAAGUCUUCGGAUGGUACAGGAUGAGCAUGCGUCUGAUUAGCUAGUUGGUGGUGUAACGGACCACCAAGGCGAUGAUCAGUAGGGGAACUGAGAGGUUGAUCCCCCACACUGGCACUGAGAUACGGGCCAGACUCCUACGGGAGGCAGCAGUAGGGAAUAUUGGUCAAUGGGUGAGAGCCUGAACCAGCCAUGCCGCGUGCAGGAAGACGGCCUUCUGGGUCGUAAACUGCUUUUACCGGGGGAUAAAAGUUCUCUUGCGAGGGAAAUUGAAGGUACCCGGUGAAUAAGCCACGGCUAACUACGUGCCG
rnacentral:rRNA from 1 species